rnacentral:lncRNA from 1 species
CAAUUGUUUUAGAUGUCUGAUAAAAAUGAUAAGAUGCAUUGUAGUGUUCAUAGUUUUGUAAAAUUUAUAUUUUACACUAAAAUGUCUCAAAAUAUUUUUAUUAUAUAGGAGUACCAUGUAUGAUAUUUUUUUUAACCUACUUCUAAUUAAAUGGAAAUAAGUCUUUGGAAAUUGGAAAUGUCAUAGCAUUUAUGAUGUUUUUGUAACAACAUUUAUUUCAUGAUUUUGACUUGAUAUUUUCAUGUAAUUUGCUAUCAAAAUAAGUUAUUGGCAAACUUUGUUUGUUAAUAAUUUCAAUUUUGUAAUAUGACCUCUUCAUGAAAAAUUGUCAGUCAAUAAAUGGAUAGAUUGAUGAACAUGCAUGUAUAUGUAAUUAUUGUAAAAAGAUUUGGUGAGGGGGAUGUUUAAACUUGCCGGAACAUUUUGCAAUAAUUUAUGUACAGAGAAAUGUGUAUUUAUGUGAUGCCUUGUGAAAAUCUAGAAUAUUUUUUUUAAAUCUUCUUUUUCCUUCAAAAUUUUGUUUAAAUCUUCAAAAUCUGCAAUGUGUUUGUUUUAGGUCAAAGCUGAUGAACAAAAUUUUACCAGAUUGAAAUCGUUUGUAUUUUUGAGUACUGAUAGAAAACUGUUUUUCUUGGACAAAAACAUACAAGAUAUAAGUCACUAUUUGUCAAUAUUAAUAUUACAGAAACAAAUAAUUAAAGAUGAUAAAUAUCAAUUCACUUGAAGACUUAGGGGGAGAGUUGUCUCAUUGGCACUCUUACCACAUCUUCUUAUAUCUAUUAGGGGGAUAAAAUCUCAAUGGACUGUGCCUUCAAAUGUGUAUGUAUAUAUAAAUAUUAUAUAAAGUUUGAUACUGUUUUUAGAUAUGUUGCAAUAUUUCUAGUCAUUCUCAUUUUUUGUAAAUAGAAAACAAUUAUUGGAAAGACCAAGUUGUUUGUUUGUUUGUUAUUUCUUGUAUGUAAGGAUGGGAACAAAGCAAAAGUUAGAAAAAAUUGUUUGUUAUUUUAGCCCAAAUGUUCAAAAAACUAUUUUGGAAGUGUUAAUACUUGUCAAAAUUUUCCAUGUUGAAUAAAAACUUCAUGAACUUUGAACUUUUUUGAUUUUUUUUAAAUUUGUUUUUUUUCUAAUUUUUUAUUUAAGUUUUAAAAAAAUCAUUUUAUGACUGCCAAAAAAAAAAGAGUCUUUUUUCAAGGUUCUCGCAAAAAUAUUUGCUUCCGGUUCUUACAUAUUUAGAUGUAACAAAAUGUUGGGUGUAAAAGGAUUAUACUGUGAUGGCCGUUGAUGUGAUAUUGUUAAAAUUGAGAUAAUCAAGGAUCAAAGAUGAGGGAAGUACAACUAGAAAAAUACCUUAAGUAGAUUGUUUUUGAUUGUUUGUUAUUGUUAAUUUUUCAUGUCCAUUGUUAUCAGUUAGCAAUAAAUCUUAUUGAAUAAAGAAA